CUACUGGGGUAUCUAAUCCUGUUUGCUCCCCACGCUUUCGCACCUCAGCGUCAGUUCCGAGCCAGUGAGCCGCCUUCGCCACUGGUGUUCUUCCUAAUAUCUACGAAUUCCACCUCUACACUAGGAGUUCCACUCACCUCUCUCGGACUCUAGACCACCAGUAUCAAAGGCAGUUCCGGAGUUGAGCUCCGGGAUUUCACCCCUGACUUAAUGGUCCGCCUACGUGCGCUUUACGCCCAGUAAUUCCGAACAACGCUAGCCCCCUUCGUAUUACCGCGGCUGCUGGCAC
rnacentral:rRNA from 1 species